CGCGUCCGCCAUCCGGUUCCCAGGCCGCCCGGUCCCAUUCCGAACCCGGAAGCUAAGGCCUGGCACGGCGAUGGUACUGCACCCGACAGGGUGUGGGAGAGUAGCACGCCGCCGCAC
rnacentral:rRNA from 1 species